rnacentral:rRNA from 1 species
ACACUCCUACGGGAGGCAGCAGUGGGGAAUUUUGGACAAUGGGCGAAAGCCUGAUCCAGCAAUGCCGCGUGAGUGAAGAAGGCCUUCGGGUUGUAAAGCUCUUUUGUCAGGGAAGAAACGGUGAGAGCUAAUAUCUCUUGCUAAUGACGGUACCUGAAGAAUAAGCACCGGCUAACUACGUGCCAGCAGCCGCGGUAAUACGUAGGGUGCAAGCGUUAAUCGGAAUUACUGGGCGUAAAGCGUGCGCAGGCGGUUUUGUAAGUCUGAUGUGAAAUCCCCGGGCUCAACCUGGGAAUUGCAUUGGAGACUGCAAGGCUAGAAUCUGGCAGAGGGGGGUAGAAUUCCACGUGUAGCAGUGAAAUGCGUAGAUAUGUGGAGGAACACCGAUGGCGAAGGCAGCCCCCUGGGUCAAGAUUGACGCUCAUGCACGAAAGCGUGGGGAGCAAACAGGAUUAGAAACCCUUGUAGUCCCAU